rnacentral:rRNA from 1 species
GAUGAACGCUAGCGGCAGGCUUAAUACAUGCAAGUCGAGGGGUAGCAAGAUUGUAGCAAUACAAUUGUUGACGACCGGCAAACGGGUGCGGAACACGUACACAACCUUCCUACAAGUGGGGAAUAGCCCAGAGAAAUUUGGAUUAAUACCCCGUAACAUAGCGAUGUGGCAUCACAUUGCUAUUAUAGCUUCGGCGCUUGUUGAUGGGUGUGCGGCUGAUUAGAUAGUUGGCGGGGUAACGGCCCACCAAGUCUACGAUCAGUAGCUGAUGUGGGAGCAUGAUCAGCCACACGGGAACUGAGACACGGGCCCGACUCCUACGGGAGGCAGCAGUAAGGAAUAUUGGACAAUGGACGCAAGUCUGAUCCAGCCAUGCCGCGUGAAGGAUUAAGGUCCUCUGGAUUGUAAACUUCUUUUAUAAGGGACGAAAAAAGGUCUUUCUAGAUCGUCUGACGGUACCUUAUGAAUAAGCACCGGCUAACUCCGUGCCAGCCGCCGCAGUAAGAC